rnacentral:rRNA from 1 species
AUUGAACGCUGGCGGCAGGCCUAACACAUGCAAGUCGAGCGGAUGAGUGGAGCUUGCUCCAUGAUUCAGCGGCGGACGGGUGAGUAAUGCCUAGGAAUCUGCCUGGUAGUGGGGGACAACGUUUCGAAAGGAACGCUAAUACCGCAUACGUCCUACGGGAGAAAGCAGGGGACCUUCGGGCCUUGCGCUAUCAGAUGAGCCUAGGUCGGAUUAGCUAGUAGGUGAGGUAAUGGCUCACCUAGGCGACGAUCCGUAACUGGUCUGAGAGGAUGAUCAGUCACACUGGAACUGAGACACGGUCCAGACUCCUACGGGAGGCAGCAGUGGGGAAUAUUGGACAAUGGGCGAAAGCCUGAUCCAGCCANGCCGCGUGUGUGAAGAAGGUCUUCGGA